UUGCGAAACUCCGCCCGGUUCUGCCGGGCGCGGUCAUCGGGACGUGGUGAUCCCGAUCUGAUGAGCAGCCACCA
rnacentral:hammerhead_ribozyme from 2 species